GCACAACGCGAAGAACCUUACCCAGGCUUGACAUGCAGUAGACCGGUCCAGAGAUGGGCCUUUCCUUCGGGACUGCUGCACAGGUGCUGCAUGGCUGUCGUCAGCUCGUGCCGUGAGGUGUUGGGUUAAGUCCCGCAACGAGCGCAACCCUUAUCAUUAGUUGCCAACAUUUAAGGUGGGAACUCUAAUGAGACUGCCUGGGUUAACCAGGAGGAAGGUGAGGAUGACGUCAAGUCCGCAUGGCCCUUAUGUCUGGGGCUACACACGUGCUACAAUGGUCGGUACAGAAGGCAGCGAAGCCGUGAGGUGAAGCAAAUCCCCAAAGCCGGCCUCAGUUCAGAUUGUAGUCUGCAACUCGACUACAUGAAGACGGAAUUGCUAGUAAUGGCGAGUCAGCAACAUCGCCGUGAAUACGUUCCCGGGUCUUGUACACACCG
rnacentral:rRNA from 1 species